rnacentral:rRNA from 1 species
UACGAAGGGGGCUAGCGUUGUUCGGAAUUACUGGGCGUAAAGCGCGCGCAGGCGGUCCUUUAAGUCAGUUGUGAAAGCCCAGAGCUCAACUCUGGAACGGCCUUUGAAACUAGAGGACUUGGGUACGGGAGAGGUGAGUGGAAUUCCGAGUGUAGAGGUGAAAUUCGUAGAUAUUCGGCAGAACACCAGUGGCGAAGGCGGCUCACUGGGGCGUAACCGACGCUCAGGCGCGAAAGCGUGGGGAGCAAACAGG